rnacentral:rRNA from 1 species
UACAGAGGUCCCAAGCGUUGUUCGGAUUCACUGGGCGUAAAGGGUGCGUAGGUGGUGAGGUAAGUCGGAUGUGAAAUCUCCGAGCUCAACUCGGAAAUGGCAUUGGAAACUACCUUGCUCGAGGGUUGGAGGGGGGACUGGAAUGCUUGGUGUAGCAGUGAAAUGCGUAGAUAUCAAGCGGAACACCAGUGGCGAAGGCGAGUCCCUGGACAACUCCUGACACUGGGGCACGAAAGCCAGGGGAGCAAACGGG